GCAAGUCUCGUCCAUCGGCUAAGAUGCCUGGCUUCCAACCAGGAGAGCAGGGUUCGAUUCCCUGGACUUGCA
rnacentral:tRNA from 1 species